UUUGAGACGGAAAGAGUGCAAUGACUUUAUAUUAAAAAAAAAACACAUGAUAGUCACAAGCAGUGUUGUUACUUGCUUAAUUAAAUAAAAUUAAAUUAUGUGGCUGGGAGAGAUUUCUUCAGAGGAAGGAAUUAGUGAGCUGCUUAGUUGAUGAUUAUGAAUCAAGUUGCCAGCUGUCAUAUGUUCACCAAGUCUGGAGUACCUCAAGACACUUAGCUUGACAUCAAAUAAUUACUCUUCCUUUCCCCUCUCUCCUUGUCGUGAACAAACUGAUCAGAGAAAGAAAAAAAAUUUGCAGAGAGAAAACAGUGAGAGAGAAAAGAAAAAGUGAAAAAAAAAUCAGAGGAAAAAUCAGGAAAAAAUAGACAAGACCUUGGAAGACUUUCUUUCAUCCUCUAUCUCAGUUCCUUGCUGUAUAGAAUAUCAGAAGUUCAGUAGCAGGUUCAGUGUAAGGGGGAGGAUCAAGUGAGUUCUUCUGUCCAUCAGUUGUUGUGGUAAGCUUAAUCUUCUUGCCUCAGUCAAGUCUUGAUCAGAAUCAGAUAUUGAUCAGUUAAGUUGUUAUCAUGGAUCAGUUGUUUAAGCUUCAUCGUUUCAGUUUUAUAUAUUUCAGAUUAAAUCAGUUGCUGGAAUAAUUAGCUCAUGUUUUAUGAACUAGUUUGAUUUAAUCUGAACUGAUCUUAUCGUGGUAUGAACUUCACUUGAUCUGAACUGCUAAACCUUGUUCUGAAUCGAGCUGAUAAGAUCUUAUUUAAAAUUCUUCUUCAGAACCGAACUAAGUAUCUAAAGCUAGUACUUGUGUUCUGUUUUGUCAGCUGCUUGCUAGUCUUGCUGUCUCACUCCAGUUCGUCCUUGUAAUUGUGUACUCCUUUGGUAAGCUGUAAUGAAGUGGUUUGGAUGUGGUGAUCAGAAAACCUAGUAACCAUAAUGAACGUUGUCCAUUCUCAGGUUCUUUUCAGCUUGUUCGAGAUCAGUUCCAAGAUUUCUUAAAUUUUGGUUUCAAGACUUAUUUUAAGGUGAGUCUAGAUAGUUGGAUAAUAAAUCAUGUAUGAGUGUAGCAUGAUUUAUCUGCAGUCAAUAGUCAUGAAUGGCUAGGUGUUGUCUAAUUGUUCUUAAAAAUUAGUGAAGAGUUUAACUCGUGUGAACUCUUACGAAAUACUCAUAAGUGUUCAUGGAGGUUUAUGUGUGACUUUUAUUUGUUUCUAAGUACUAAUCUGAUAUGCAUUCAUAUAGUUAAGUAUUUAAGUAAUAUUCAUAUGAAGUCUUGGUCAAUACUCGCUACCUAAAUAUCACCGUAAUAUGAAAAGCCGUCGCUUGAUCGUAUGUGGUUCACGUGAACGUUUCAAGUUGUAUGAAGACACGGAGUUACGGUAUUGCAGACUAGGGCCGUGUACUGGGUGACGAUCCAGUGUUGGGUGUUCAUCAAGUGAUUAUUCGGGUUUAGCAUAUGCCUAUAUAUAUAUAUAUAUAUAAUUAUGAGUUAAGGGCGGGUGAUAUGGAACGAUGUAUAGGAAGAGAUUCAUAGUGAUUAUGUACUAGUACUUGAAUGAUCAUACUAAUGCAUUAUUGUGAUUGCUUGUGUUGAUUUGUUCUAUUGUGAUUCUAGAUUCACUGUGUAUUUGUUACUCACGACUCAUUCGUGUGUGCAGGUAAUCAUUAGGCGGGAAACACUUUUCUCUUUUGGACUAGAAGGAACGGCAUAAUCAGCGGUUGUUUUUGUUGUCCUUGCAACGAACCUUUUGAUGUAUAUUUACUGUAAAAUGUUGUUGGGCGAUAGGCCACAGGAUAAAACUAUAACGGUUUGUAAAAUGUUUAAAGAAAAUAAAUAAGGUAUAAAGAAUGUUUUAUAAAAUACUAGCUCUCACAUCAUAUUAGUCCUUGUCCGGGACAAACCAACUAUCGAGUAUUGCUUGUCGGGUUGAAAAGCCUAGAGUGAUAUCCGAUAGGAGCGUCGGUGUUCUCAGUUUGUUGAUCUAAGGUGAUCGGAAUUAUUCUGGGAUCUUGGAUCGACCUUCGGGGGAACAACGACGGUGUCAUUUCCGGUCAUCUAUGAUCGGAGGUGUCACAG
rnacentral:lncRNA from 1 species